rnacentral:tRNA from 1 species
GCCGAUGUGGUGGAACUGGUAGACACGUGCGCUUGAGGGGCGUAUGGGGCAACCCGUGGGAGUUCGACUCUCCCCAUCGGCACCA